rnacentral:misc_RNA from 1 species
GGCAAAGACGCCAAAUAAAGAGAGUGAGCAUAAGGGAAAGAGGUGGGGGCUGCUGUGUAUAUAAUUCAUGUCCGUAUUAUGAGAGGGGCUUUCUUCUUUUUCUAGCUUUUGCUUUCCCUUCCCUCCCAAAUUUCACUCUCUCUGACCUAAUUGUCUCAGCUCAGCAACAACACCAUCUCUAAAUCUAAGAGAAGAUCCCUCUAAAGUCUAAAUUUAGCGGGUCUUUCUCUUUCUCUUUCUCAUUUCUGUCUUAGAUCUAUCUAUCUAUAACUUGUCUAUAUUGUGCCACAUAUAUAUAGGUCUCAUCAUCUGACAUAUAAGUUUUUUUUGUAGCUGCUGACUUUGGAUUUGGUCUUUGGUUUGAGGUUGAUAAUUAAUAAGAGAUCCCGAGAAGAAGAAAAUUAAGAUGACUCCAGCGAAUUUGGCCGGGCAGUUUGGUGACACUACAUACACCAAGGUGUUUGUUGGGGGCUUGGCUUGGGAGACACAAAAAGAGACCAUGAAGAAGUACUUUGAGCAGUUUGGUGAGAUCUUGGAGGCUGUUGUCAUCACCGAUAAGGCCACCGGCAGAUCCAAGGGAUACGGAUUUGUAACUUUUCGGGAUCCCGAAGCAGCUAUGAGGGCCUGUGUUGAUGCUGCUCCUGUGAUAGAUGGGAGAAGGGCUAAUUGCAACCUUGCAUCUUUGGGAGUUCAGAGAUCCAAACCUUCUACUCCAAAGCAUGGAGGAGCAGGUAGAAACUUUAGGGUAAUGAGCUCUUUUCAGACUGGGUUUGGAGGUGGGGUGGGAACAACUUUUCCUUCAGCAGCAUCCUUCCCUCAUUAUGCCAUCCAGCAAGGGAUACCUUAUAAUGUUUAUGGGUACUCUCCAUACUCGCCAGACUACACUUACCCGGCGGUUUGUACAAAUUUCGCUUUUACUUUUCUCUUUUUUCACAUUAUUUCCUAGGAUGCGUUUUCGAGCAUACUUUUUAGCAGACAAAGUCUUUUUCACUUUUCAUUACUAUUAUUUCCACUAUUUCAUUUUUUAUGAGCAAAAAUGAUUUUAUUAAUAUUUUAGAACCACUAUUUCAUUUCAUUUCUUUUCUUUUCUUUUCCUCCACAGAUAUACAUUUUUCCUUACAUCAUCAUCAUUAUUAAUUAGCGGGAAAUAUUAUUAAGUAUGGUGUUUUUCUACGUUGUCAUCAUUGGUAAUUGGUAGGCCAAGCCUGGCGAGACAUUCAUUAUUUUUACACUAUUCUCCUUUUAACAAGCAAGUAUUCAUUGAAUGGUUCAUCUUAAUUUUCGCAUCCAAUGCAAAUAUUAUUAUAUACACAGUGAAUGGUACUUUAAGUGUUUGUUUAGCUAUUGCCAGCAGGGAUCCAUGAGCAGCAUCUUUGAAAUAUUUGCACGGUCAAUAAUGUACAAUAUAAUACGUGUGCCUUUGAUUUCAAUAUUUGCUACUUAUUAAUUCAAAAUAUAAUAUAUAUGAUGAGAAGUGUAUAUAAUAAUUGAAACUCAUAUUAUUUAUUUUAAAUUCAUAAUAAUCAAAUUUAAGUAAGCUUUUUAAUUUUAAAAAAUAUUGUUAAUUUUUUUUUCUCACGAUAAACUAAAGAAUGCCAAGUGGUAAAAAGUGAAUUCACAGCUGGCGGUAUUCUUUUACUUGUUUGUCGAUUUGAGAAUAUGGAACAACGGGCACCAUCUCUGUGAUAUAUUAUCUCACUCAAUAAAUCUCACAGCCUUCUAAAAUUCUCAAGGAACUGUGAGAGCUAAGAAAACGGACAAAUCAGUGAAGGCUGGGAUUGACUAUAAGCUCUUGUCCAUAUGUAAAAAUUCAAAAACAAAAUGAUACACCUAAAUUCAGUGACCCAGUUGCAUGUUACAUGUGAAGCAAAUCAGCCAAUGCAUUCAGUACUGAAAUAUAUGUACGAAAGGCAUAAUUAUGUUUUCUGAAAUAAUUAACUUUUUUGAAAUGUGUUCAGAGCUACUACAGUAUAUAUGGAGGGGCAACUGCCCAGUAUUCUAUGUACGGAACUGGGCCUGGAGGGAUGAUGACAGGUGCGGCAACUGCGUUUUAUCCUUAUCUCCAAUUUGGAGAGGGAAGUGGAGGAGGAGCUGCUGGCUACACUUCAGGGCAAAGCUAUGGUGUUCAGUAUCCUCACCAUCUGUUUCAGUAUUCAGCCAUUAAUUCAACUGGAGCGUACCCCCAGCACUAUGGUGCACCCAUGUCUCUUGCACCAACUGCAGCUUUGCAAUCAGUGUGCUUUGCUGUGCCACAGGCGUGACCAUGGCUCUUCGUGCCCCGCCAAUUCCUCAUCGCUAGAGACUAUCGCAUUCUAGCCACCUGGCCCCACUUCUAUGCUUCCUCAUCUGCUUUUUUGAGGUCUCACCUUUGGCCUAACCAUGGUUCUCUCUUUGCCUUUCUAUUAACUCAAACCCCCCAUAGGGGUUACAGCACUAGUCACUCCAAAAACUGGAGUCAUGCAUCUCAAUUUUUCCCUUGCAUAUACGUUUGAAAGAAAGGUUCCCUGAAGAGAACCAAAUCUAUCAUGUGUAUGUAUUCUCCAACUCAAGCUAUCGGAUUAGCUUUGAGUGGAAACAUUUUUUUUUUCUAUUGUUAGCCCUGGAAAUGGCUAACCAAGAAAAUAACCAUUUUGUAAAUGCUAGCCUAGGGAAGGCUAAUCCACUGGAAAAUGGUUUGCAAAAAUGUAUAUUCAGCAACACAAAUAUAGCAAGCCCUUUGUUUUCAAUACCAGCUUUUUAGUGCCUAAUCCCUCCAACAAUUAAUAGAUGAUCACCUCUAGAUGAAGAGGCAGUUUUAUUUUAGCAAAAUCAUGGCCAGGGCAUGGAUGCCCUCAGUUUUUGUGCAUUGACAUCUUAGCUAGUCUUAGGAUUUUAGAGCUAGCUAGGACCACGCAAUCAUGUUAUUUCAUAUUUUUUUUUUACCAACUUUACUUUUAAAAUCUUAAUGUGUUUUAACCAACAACCUUCCCUUGGGUAAGGGAAGAAAAUCUCAUUAACUGUUCUUUUAAUUAUUAUUUGUACUUUUUUACAUUUCCUGUAAAUUCAUUGUGGCUAAACUUUGGGAGUUUUAGCCUCUUUUAGUAAAGAAUAGGAGGGUUAGUGUUUGUUUUUUUUUUUUGCAUCUAGAUUUUACCCUGUUUCAACAUCACGCCGAGAACUCCAUAAAUGGAUGUGGAGCUCACAGCACAUGCAUGCAACUCUAGGGAGAUAUUUUGAUUCCCUUGAGUUCUUCUCCUCUAACUCACCAACCAUGGUUAGGACUUAGGUUAUCCUCUCUCCCUCUGUCUCUGUCUCUCCCCCUCUCUGUGGAACUUUUACCUGGAGAUGGAUCAAGAUACUCUUUAUAUGUAUAAGCCCUAUAUAUGGUUUGUAUUGUAAUUAGGAUGCUACUUAAUUAAUUAGGACAAGAUUCAUUCUCUAACCACGGUGGUUGAGAAUGGAUAUAUGCUACUCACUUCUAUGCUUUUAAUUUGAGACUGCAAUGCUUACUUUUCCGCCAAUGCUUUGUCCAUCCUAGACAAGCAAAAUUAUUGUUCACAAAUUUUGUCAUGAUAAUCUUCUCUUAAUUUCUUGGCAUGUAUAAAACAACUAUAUAUUGCUUUUCAAAUGGAGGACAAUCUGCACCACAACUAUUCAACUCG